rnacentral:rRNA from 1 species
GAUGAACGCUGGCGGCGUGCUUAACACAUGCAAGUCGAACGGAAAGGCUCCUUCUUGCAUGGGUACUCGAGUGGCGAACGGGUGAGUAACACGUGGGUGAUCUGCCCUGCACUUCGGGAUAAGCCUGGGAAACUGGGUCUAAUACCGGAUAUGACGAUUGUUUGGAUGCCAUUGUGGAAAGUUUUUUCGGUGUGGGAUGGGCUCGCGGCCUAUCAGCUUUUUCGUGGGGUAAUGGCCUACCAAGGCGUCGUCGGGUAGCCGGCCUGAGAGGGUGUGCGGACACAUUGGGACUGAGAUACGGCCCAGACUCCUACGGGAGGCAGCGGUGGGGAAUAUUGCACAAUGGGCGGAAGCCUGAUGCAGCGACGCCGCGUGGGGGAUAACGGCCUUCGGGUUGUAAACUCCUUUCGCUAGAGACGAAGCGAAAGUGACGGUACCUGGAGAAGAAGCACCGGCUAACUACGUG